GCGGGCGUGGUACAAUGGUAGCACCUCAGCCUUCCAAGCUGAUGACGCGGGUUCGAUUCCCGCCGCCCGCUCCA
rnacentral:tRNA from 7 species